UGGGGAAUAUUGCACAAUGGGGGAAACCCGUACGAUGCAGCAACGCCGCGUGAAGGAAGAAGGUUUUCGGUAUCGUAAACUUCUAUCAAUAGGGACGAACAAAUGACGGUACCUAAAUAAGAAGCCCCGGCUAACUACGUGCCAGCAGCCGCGGUAAUACGUAGGGGGCGAAGCGUUAUCCGGAAUUACUGGGUGUAAAGGGAGCGUAGGCGGCAUGGUAAGUAAGAUGUGAAAGCCCGAGGCUUAACCUCGAGGAUUGCAUUUUAAACUAUUAAGCUAGAGUACAGGAGAGGAAAGCGGAAUUCCUAGUGUAGCGGUGAAAUGCGUAGAUAUUAGGAAGAACACCAGUGGCGAAGGCGGCUUUCUGGACUGAAACUGACGCUGAGGCUCGAAAGCGUGGGGAGCGAACAGGAUUAGAUACCCUGGUAGU
rnacentral:rRNA from 1 species